CUGGUGGCACAGUGGCUAAAGCGCUCGGCUGCUAACCGAAAGACUGGUGGUUCAAACCCCACCAG
rnacentral:tRNA from 1 species